UGUUUUCUACUGCAGGGUGAUACAGGUGCAUAGAUCUAUUAAACAAGGGUGUUAUCUUGGAGUUCAAUGACAUGUCUGAGUUAAAGUUGCCAAUGCCUGAAAGUUAAAAUACAGGGUUUGUCUAGACAUUGCACAGGCCAGUAGCCAUAGGUUGAAAAGUGGAGAGGAAAACCUGGGGAAAUCUGGCUACUUCAUUGGUACCAGUGGCAUCAAUAAACUGUGAGAAAUUCCAAACAAGAUAGUGAUGUUCCUGCCUCAUGGGACAGUAAAUAAUUAAUGAAGAUCGUAUCGGUUGAUCGGCUACUGCAUUACUCACAAUGAAAACGAUCCCAGCACAGAGAUACCGCAGCAAAGUCCAAAAUACAGCAAGAGCUAUCACGAGGGCAACGUCGAUGGUCUUGAUGUAGGCGCCCUUGGUCAAACAUUCCAAAAACCCUGAAGGCCAUAUAUAAAUUGGAACGUUUCCCCACUGUCUCUGAUUUUCUUUGUUGCCGCAUAUACAUCGGUGACAAGCUGCACAUAAGUAGGUAGCACAGAGUACUUGUCGCUAGCGGCCGCCAUUACUGCGGGUCAAGGUGCUAAACUGUGGAGGGGAGACAGCUCAUUUUCUCAAGUGUCUAUGAAAGACUCUUUGCAGCCAGUCAUCUUAUAUUUCCUAAAAAUCAAUUUAACAUUAUGAAAUUGUGGUUUUUGAUUAAUAAAGAUAAAAUUCCUCUGGCACGUUUAGAUGUUUGCAUGUUUUGAUACCAUAUCGAUCCUUAUCCCCCUAUAUGGCGGAACAGUUCAUUCAGGUACAAUCGAGAUCGGUGUUGCCGCUUCGC